ensembl:snRNA U1 U1 spliceosomal RNA
AUAUCUACUGGGGGUGGGGGGAGAUACCAUCAUCACAAAGGUGAUUUUCCCAGGGUGCGGCUCCCCUAUUACACUGCGGGUGUAGUGGCCUUUGCGAUGCGGGACACUCCACUGCAGCAUUGGUGGCAAUGGGGGAUGCGCGCGCACGCUCCCCUG